rnacentral:rRNA from 1 species
CGUUGACCUCGAAUCAGGUAGGACUACCCGCUGAACUUAAGCAUAUCA